CUCGGAAUGCCAGAGUGGCCCAAUGGCGUCGGCUGCAACCCGAUUGUAUCCCCGGUUCGAAUCCGGGUUCCGAGUCCA
rnacentral:tRNA from 1 species